AAAAAUAACUUUUAUAAUGUUUUUUUUUCUGUCAACUUUCAUUUAACACUCCAGUCCAGUUGGUGGCAGUAAUGCGCUUUCAUAGUCGGUCAAGCAGCCGCCAUUAAACUCUAGAGGAAGAUUUGCACUGGCGGUAACGAGUGCUAACUGCCUACACCCAACACGAACGAAAAUACCCGUGCGUUGUGUGAAAUGGUGGAAAAAGUCCUAUUUCACGGAGUUACCUUUUCAGUAUCGUUUUGAUAUUAAGCAAUGUUCCGGCGGAAAACAACAGAUGACACCUCGGCGGUCCAACAAGACGAACUCACGGUAAGAAAGCUUUUAUAAAUAGCAUGUGUAGCGAGGCAAGUUGCUUUGUUUGUUUCUUACAUAAAGCAGUCUGUCGUUUUCUUAAUGCCGAAACAAGUACAGGGUGAGAUUUUGUAUUGUAAUCUCUAUUACAUGUGAUGUUCUUAACUCUUAAAAAUACUCGCAUCUUUGAUUAUUUCAGACCUGAAAAAUGGCCAAGCCUUACCAGUAGGACCUCAGACCACGGUGCUGAGGAGCUCUUACGGAGUCCACCAGGACGAAGAGAAAUUCAUACAGCAAGGCAGAGUGUGGAACGCAGGAAAGAUCUACAAAAUGGCGGACGGAGGACUGAUCUGAAGACGAAGUCAUAAAGCCGUAUAAUCACUGCGUUGAAUCCCGACUGUACAAUGACUCCACAUUUGUGUCAAUCACUCUUCUGGAACGUUCUGUCGUCCGUGAUGAGGACAGAGAUGCAACUGUGUCUGCAUCCAGGACCUUCUGCCAGUCAUCCAGAUGUAGCUAAAGAAAGAAGCAGCUGCUGGAGGCGAGGGAGAGCGUCCUGGCAGCAGAGGAGAUUUCCUUUUGGGAAGGUGUCACCAUUGACCUCAUGUCUGAUGAAGAGGAUGGCAUCUUCGAGGGUGUAUCGGGCUGGAUUGUGAGACCACCAAGUUUCCGCAGCCAGGAGCUCGGCAACCUCUGCUCCAAACUACAAGAGAGACUUGAAGCUAACCCUAAAUACAGCAUGUUGCGUCAUAAGCGUUUGUAUGUUGGAUCAUGCUCAGAAAGAAAGCCACCACCACACAGCCCAGAAGUAGACAAGCAUUUUGUGCUGUAAUCUUUUUUUUUUUUUAAACUGAAGUUUUUUUUAUUUAUAGAUGUGUUAUUUUAUGUGGUUUCUUUAUU